CCUGACCCGCCCCAUUUUACCUAAAAUCUCAGUCGUCCAUCACCUCAGAUCCCAGGGCCAAGGUUAUUUCUCCACACCCAUAUAAAAGCUCAUUAUAACCUAAAACCCUAAUGAUUCCAUGGUGCCAGCCUCUCAAACUCGCCGGAAUCGGACGAGUUCGCUCAGCUUUUCCCCCACAGUCCCCCUACUCUCAUUUCCUUCUUCCAUGUCACUCAAAUCGUUCAAAUAUCAUCAUUUCGAAUUGAUUCACAUAUUUUUCUUCCUUUAUCUUCUUUGUCUAAAUAAAAAUUCAAAUCGCUUAGAUAAAAGAUUGGGAAAUGGGAGCCAUUGGAUCACCUUCAUUUUUUUAUUUUUUAUUUACAAAAUAGAAUCUUUUGGAAUUUCUUUUGGCGUACACACUGUUUUGGGCAUUUUUUUGCCGAAAAAUGAGAGAAGUUUCGAGAGAGAGCUAUAUAUUUGAGGUUUUUGGGACAGAAAUUUCAGGGACAGAGAUUGGAGGAGAAGAAAUUAGAGCUUGGUUUUUGAAUUUUCUUCUUCUGGUUUUCGUUUUAAGUUCAUUCUGUCUCAAGUCAAAACAAAAAAUACAAAAAAACAGUCCAUAGUUCUGAUUUUGUUGUUCGAAUAUGGGGAUCGAUUGGGCCAAAGUCGAGUUCGUCAUUGGAGGUUUAUGCUCAUGAUUCCUUGCCUAGUUCUAAUUGUUGCACUUAUUCAACUCCGAUACGUUGCUAGAUUUCUUUGUCUGAACAUUCAAGGUUGAAGUUAAUGAAAAUUUUUAAACAUGAUGAGUUGAGGGUCUUCAAGCAAGACUUAUUUUUUUGUAAGUUCAGGGUUAUUUUCACUUUUAAUAUAGUGUUAGCUACCUUCUUUGUUGUUUAAUCGUAUUUUCAUAUGCUAUGAGUUUUUCGUGCAUUUCUUUCGUUUGAAUCCUCGCUGUUGAACUGUCGCAUAACUGGAAAGCAGUUAGAUGUCGAAAGUGAUUCCUUGAGUAUCAUGUUGACUUAUGUGUCAAGAUCAUUUCAUUUUCCUUGGUGUAUAUGGUUAAAAUAUCUGCUACAUUCUUGAUACUAUGUCUAAUUGUUUAGUUGUCUUAAUUCCUCUGCCCAGCCGUCUUUGAGAUCUAAACUAAUGUCCAAG
rnacentral:lncRNA from 1 species